rnacentral:rRNA from 1 species
CCUACGGGAGGCAGCAGUGGGGAAUAUUGGGCAAUGGGCGCAAGCCUGACCCAGCAACGCCGCGUGAAGGAAGAAGGCUUUCGGGUUGUAAACUUCUUUUCUAAGGGACGAAGAAAGUGACGGUACCUUAGGAAUAAGCUCCGGCUAACUACGUGCCAGCAGCCGCGGUAAUACGUAGGGAGCGAGCGUUAUCCGGAUUUACUGGGUGUAAAGGGCGUGUAGGCGGGAUGGCAAGUCAGGCGUGAAAACUAUGGGCUCAACCCAUAGCCUGCGUUUGAAACUGUCGUUCUUGAGUGAUGGAGAGGCAAGCGGAAUUCCGUGUGUAGCGGUGAAAUGCGUAGAUAUACGGAGGAACACCAGUGGCGAAGGCGGCUUGCUGGACAUUAACUGACGCUGAGGCGCGAAAGCGUGGGGAGCAAACAGGAUUAGAUACCCCUGUAGUC